rnacentral:lncRNA from 1 species
UAUUAUUGCAUUGCAAUUUUCAAACUAUUUCUUUUUGGUUCAACAUCUUGAGUUUAAGGAGACUGUUUGUUAUUGACAAGACAUGAUAAAGUACUGCAAGCUCCAUCAAGUUGAAGUUAAGUUUUUGCCUUUUAACCUCUUAUUGCUUAUGAAUAGAAAGACAUGACUCCAAAUGUAAUUAUUGGAUGAACGUAUACGAUGAUGAUUGGAAGCGGU